rnacentral:rRNA from 1 species
UGACAGUCAUCCGCUUGCAAACAUAUGUUCGAUCUUCACCGGUUGGCUAUGUGAGUAAGCACUUUACCUUGAGAAAAACAGAGUGUUCCAGGCAGGUUUGUCCGGGAUGCAUUAGCAUGGAAUAAUAGAACAUGACUGAAGUCGAUUUAUUGGUUUAAGGCUUUAGUAAUGAUUAAUAGGAACAGUCGGGGGCAUUCGUACUCAGCAGUCAGAGGUGAAAUUCUAAGAUUUGCUGAAGACGAACUAAUGCGAAAGCAUUUGCCAAGGAUGUUUUCAUUAAUCAAGAACGAAAGUUAGGGGAUCAAAGACGAUCAGAUACCGUCCUAGUCUUAACUAUAAACUAUGCCGACUCGGAUUCAGAUGAAUCAAAAUGUUCAUUUGGGACCGUAGGAGAAAUCAAAGUC